UAUUCAGGGAUCUGUAAAUUCAGAAGGGUUCAUAAAGCAAAGCACUGCAGACGUGUCUAAAAUUGUAUUCAAAGUUAAAACAUACACUGAAGCCAUGUUGUAAUGGGAGAAAAUUAUGACGGAUACGCAUUUAGAAAGAUCUCACUGAUUCUGGUCAAAGAAUCACAGGUUCAUUUAAUUGUUGGGGUGUAUCAGUCUGUGUCACUGGUCGAUCUGGGGGUUCAUUUUAUGCCAGAUUCUCUGAUUAAUUGUUUGUGUGUUAAUGAAGAUAGUGGUUUAUAAUUACUAAGACUAUCAGUUUAUAAAGUGUUAGGUUUUUCUAUUGUUUCCCUGCAUCUCUCAGUGUGUUCACCUUAAACCAGUGUAGGCAUGGAGAGUCUUCAAGAUGCAAUUAAACACCAAUUGCUCGAGAUGGUGAGAUCUUUGUCAGAGCAUCUGAGGGCAAGUUUUGGAGUCGAGAAUAUUAACGACCUUGAAUAUGUUCAGCCGGAGGACAUAAAAUACCAUUUGACGCCAAUAUAGUGCCGGGAAUUGCUUCAGUCCUUCAACCAAAGAGAAAAUUAAAAUGGAUAGGACACAUUCUUUUCACCAAGUUACUGCUCUGCAACCACUUCAAUCCUCUUGAUUGACAGUCACUUGACUCAAGCUCUCCUGAACAAGGGUAAGAGAAUUGUCAACUUUUUUAAAAGCCAAAAGCCCAAGUUGAGAAGAGAGAUCCAGUGCCUGCUGAAUGAAAUCGACGGUUACAUAAAAGGCAAUGACGAUCUAACAGCCACUGCUGCCAUUCUUUUGUUGAUGACCCACUUCAAAGAGAAGGACGAAUCUCUGUUCCUCUUGGUAGAUGUCACUGCGACCCGGGUUGAUGUCAAAUCGCAAUUUCCUUUGCCAGACACACCAAGGCUGAUCAUGCUUGGUAAUACAUUUAUUUGAUUUAAGGUGGAACAUAAUAUAAUAUCUAUAGUAUUGUGGUACCUAGAGAUGUCUAGUAAGUGUACACUAACACCCGUACUUUUGUGAAUUAUGGUAUGCUCUAUUUGGGUUCCACAAAAUGCAUGGUGUUGAUCGAGGAGAGAGUGGUCUGUGUUUUGGACAGUGAGUCCAACUUUGCUGCUACUCUCUCUGUGCUCUUCAGCACUUUCUAUGUUUUUAACAUAGAAUACCAGGAGUCGGCCUCUGCAACCUUGGAGCUGAUA